GUUUGAUCAUGGCUCAGGAUGAACGCUGGCGGCGUGCCUAACACAUGCAAGUCGAACGGGAACCUAAUUUCGGUUAGGUGAGAGUGGCGAACGGGUGAGUAACACGUAGGUGACCUGCCCCUGGGCGGGGGAUAACUGUCGGAAACGACAGCUAAUACCCCGGAUGUCAAGAGGGUUAGAGGCUCUUGACUAAAGUUGAGGCGCCUGGGGAGGGGCCUGCGGGCUAUCAGCUAGUUGGUGAGGUAACAGCUCACCAAGGCCCAGACGGCUAGGGGGCGUGAGAGCGUGGCCCCCCACAAUGGAACUGAGACACGGUCCAUACUCCUACGGGAGGCAGCAGUGAGGAAUAUUGCCCAAUGGGGGAAACCCUGAGGCAGCAACGCCGCGUGAACGAAGACGGCCUUCGGGUUGUAAAGUUCUUUUCUGGGGGACGAAACAGACGGUACCCCAGGAAUAAGUUCCGGCUAACUACGUGCCAGCAGCCGCGGUAAAACGUAGGGGACAAGCGUUAUCCGGAUUUACUGGGCGUAAAGCGCACGUAGGCGGACUGGUAAGUUGGCCGUGAAAGCUCCCGGCUUAACUGGGAGAGGUCGGACAAAACUGCCAGACUUGAGGCUGAGAGAGGAGAGCGGAAUUCCCGGUGUAGUGGUGGAAUGCGUAGAUAUCGGGAGGAACACCAGUGGCGAAGGCGGCUCUCUGGCUCAGAACUGACGCUGAGGUGCGAAAGCGUGGGGAGCGAACGGGAUUAGAUACCCCGGUAGUCCACGCUGUAAACGAUGGAUACCAGGUGUAGGGGGUCAUUAACCCCCCCUGUGCCGCAGCUAACGCGUUAAGUAUCCCGCCUGGGGACUACGGCCGCAAGGUUAAAACUCAA
rnacentral:rRNA from 1 species